rnacentral:rRNA from 1 species
GUCGGGAAUUUUGGGCAAUGGGCGAAAGCCUGACCCAGCAACGCCGCGUGAGGGAUGAAGGCCUUCGGGUCGUAAACCUCUGUCGGGAGGGACGAAAGGCGCGCGGGUGAACAAUCCGCGUACUUGACGGUACCUCCAAAGGAAGCGCCGGCUAACUCCGUGCCAGCAGCCGCGGUAAUACGGAGGGCGCAAGCGUUGUUCGGAAUUACUGGGCGUAAAGCGCGUGUAGGCGGCCAGGUAAGUCGGGUGUGAAAUCCCGGGGCCCAACCCCGGAACUGCACCCGAUACUGCCCGGCUGGAGUCCCGGAGAGGAUGGCGGAAUUUCCGGUGUAGAGGUGAAAUUCGUAGAUAUCGGAAGGAACACCAGUGGCGAAGGCGGCCAUCUGGACGGUGACUGACGCUGAGACGCGAAAGCGUGGGGAGCAAACAGGAUUAGAAACCCGUGUAGUCC